GUGAAUCAUCGAAUUUUUGAACGCAAAUUGCACUCCCUGGUAUUCCAGGGAGUAUGCCUGUUUGAGGGUCGUUAGAAUACAAAAGCUAUGCGUCGCUCUGUGUUUAAGGUUGAUCGCGUCGGAAUUGACCCGUCUUUCAAAUGUUAGUACAUGUCAAAGUGGUUUGAAUUUCAUCCAUCCGGUACGAUUGAAGCGUAUUUAAGAUUAAGU
rnacentral:misc_RNA from 1 species